rnacentral:rRNA from 2 species
GGCCUAAUACAUGCAAGUCGAGCGGACUAAUGGGAGCUUGCUCCCGUUAGUUAGCGGCGGACGGGUGAGUAACACGUGGGCAACCUACCUGUAAGACUGGGAUAACUUCGGGAAACCGGAGCUAAUACCGGAUGACAUUAAGGAACUCCUGUUCCUUGAUUGAAAGAUGGCUUUUAGCUAUCACUUACAGAUGGGCCCGCGGCGCAUUACCUAGUUGGUGAGGUAACGGCUCACCAAGGCAACAAUGCGUACCCAACCUGAAAGGGUGAUCGGCCACACUGGGACUGAAACACGGCCCAAACUCCUACGGGAGGCAGCAGUAGGGAAUCUUCCGCAAUGGACAAAAGUCUGACGGACCAACGCCCCGUGAGCGAUGAAGGCCUUCGGGUCGUAAAGCUCUGUUGUUAGGGAAAAACAAGUGCUAGUUGAAUAAGCUGGCACCUUGACGGUACCUAACCAAAAAGCCACGGCUAACUACUUGCCACCAGCCGCGGUAAUACGUAGGUGGCAAGCGUUGUCCGGAAUUAUUGGGCGUAAAGCGCGCGCAGGCGGUUUCUUAAGUCUGAUGUGAAAGCCCCCGGCUCAACCGGGGAGGGUCAUUGGAAACUGGGAAACUUGAUUGCAGAAAAGGAAAGUGGAAUUCCAAGUG